rnacentral:tRNA from 1 species
GAGGAUGUAGUUCAGUGGUAGAGUGCAUACCUAGCAUGUACAAGGUCCUGGGUUCAAUUCCCAGUACCUUCA